AACGAACGCUGGCGGCAUGCCUAACACAUGCAAGUCGAACGAGAUCUUCGGGUCUAGUGGCGCACGGGUGCGUAACGCGUGGGAAUCUGCCCUUUGGUUCGGAAUAACAGUUGGAAACGACUGCUAAUACCGGAUGAUGACGAAAGUCCAAAGAUUUAUCGCCAGAGGAUGAGCCCGCGCAGGAUUAGCUAGUUGGUGUGGUAAAGGCGCACCAAGGCGACGAUCCUUAGCUGGUCUGAGAGGAUGAUCAGCCACACUGGGACUGAGACACGGCCCAGACUCCUACGGGAGGCAGCAGUGGGGAAUAUUGGACAAUGGGCGAAAGCCCGAUCCAGCAAUGCCGCGUGAGUGAUGAAGGCCUUAGGGUUGUAAAGCUCUUUUACCCGGGAUGAUAAUGACAGUACCGGGAGAAUAAGCUCCGGCUAACUCCGUGCCAGCAGCCGCUGUAA
rnacentral:rRNA from 1 species